rnacentral:rRNA from 1 species
UGGUCAAGUUAUUAAGGGUGCAGGGCGGAUGCCUUGGCACUAGGAGCCGAUGAAGGACGUGAUAAGCUGCGAUAAGCUUCGGGGAGUUGCACGUAAACUUUGAUCCGAAGAUUUCCGAAUGAGGAAACUCACUUAGAGUAAUGUCUAAGUAUCAUUAAGUGAAUACAUAGCUUAAUGAGGGGAACUCAGGGAACUGAAACAUCUAAGUACCUGAAGGAAGAGAAAGAAAUUCGAUUCCGUAAGUAGCGGCGAGCGAACGCGGAUUAGCCCAAACCAAUAAAGUUUUCUUUAUUGGGGUUGCGGACAUAUCAUAACGGAGAGGUAUCGUAAUUGAAGAGGUUUGGAAAGACCCACCACAGAAGGUAAUAGUCCUGUAUGUUAAACGAGAAGACUUUAGAUAUGAUCCAGAGUACCACGGGACACGUGAAACCCUGUGGGAAGCAGGAGGGACCACCCUCCAAGGCUAAAUACUACCUAGUGACCGAUAGCGUAUAGUACCGUGAGGGAAAGGUGAAAAGAACCCCGGGAGGGGAGUGAAAUAGAACCUGAAACCCUGCACUUACAAGCUGUGGAAGCACAUUUCUUGUGUGACCGCGUACUUUUUGUAGAACGGGCCAACGAGUUACGUUAAGUAGCAAGGUUAAGCACUUAAGGUGCGGAGCCGUAGCGAAAGCGAGUUUUAAC